rnacentral:lncRNA from 1 species
CUCAGAUUUAAUUAGAGUAAGAUACAGUCUAAAAAUGUAGUAUGCAUGUGAACACCUUUGGCAGUGUGGUGGCUCACACAUGAACUAUCUUACUGUUAGAUUACACAAUAACCAGUUAGUACUGUGUCUUCCUCUGCAGAGUUAGUUCAUUAACCACUGAGAAGACUCAGAGUGUGAUGUCCGAGUAUUCUAAAUCCCAUAUUUUUCUAUCAUUGCUUUUGCUUUAGAAAUAUAGGCAUUCAUGGCAUCCUCCUUCGAUAUACCUCUUUUCAGGUUCCAUGCCUCCCAUUUGGCUUUGCCUUUCACAUCUAACACUCCAGGACAUUCAAUAUUAAUAUCUCCAACAGUAGCUUGUUUGUAGAAUCCAUAGAGUUCCUUCAGUUCUUCAUCAGUUGGUCUUGUUUUCAAUUUUUUUACAUCUUUUGCAGCCCCAUCGAAGUCAGCCUGCAGGGCCAUGGCGCGGCGGGCACUCGCGGUCCGGUCCUCGCUCCUGCAACCGUCUGCCCCGCGAGGCCGCACGUGAUGGCGAGCGGGGAACGACCUCCCCUCGGGGCCCCGCUGCCGUCACGGGGCGGUGAGGCGCCGCCGCUGCUGCCCGGAGCUGCGGUGCCUCGGCCCAGGAGGCGCUCGGGGCC